rnacentral:rRNA from 1 species
AACAUCGCCUCUUGAUCCCAUAAGAGGUCCAGCCUGCCCAGUGACUCUGUUCAACGGCCGCGGUAUUCUAACCGUGCAAAGGUAGCGUAAUCACUUGUUUUCUAAAUAAAGACUAGUAUGAAAGGCAUCACGAGGGCUAAACUGUCUCCUUUUUCUAAUCAGUAAACCUAAUCUCCCCGUGAAGAAGCGGGGAUUCCCUUAUAAGACGAGAAGACCCUAUGGAGCUUUAAACACUUUAACACCUGCCAAACUCUAAACUAUUCCGAUACCUCCCACCUUACGGCACGCUGAUUAUAAGUUUUUGGUUGGGGUGACCGCGGAGAAAAAUUUAUCCUCCACAAUGAAUAAGGGCCUCCCCCUAAACAACAAGCCACAACUUUAUACAUCAAUAAAUUGACAUCCAUUGACCCAACAUUUGAUCAACGAACCAAGUUACCCUAGGGAUAACAGCGCAAUCCACUUUAAGAGCCCUUAUCGACAAGUGGGCUUACGACCUCGAUGUUGGAUCGGGGUAUCCCAGUGGUGUAGCCGCUACUAAAGGUUCGUUUGUUCAACGAUUAAAACCCCACGUGAU